GAUGAACGCUGGCGGCGUGCCUAAUACAUGCAAGUCGAGCGAACGGACGAGAAGCUUGCUUCUCUGAUGUUAGCGGCGGACGGGUGAGUAACACGUGGAUAACCUACCUAUAAGACUGGGAUAACUUCGGGAAACCGGAGCUAAUCCCGGAUAAUAUUUUGAACCGCAUGGUUCAAAAGUGAAAGACGGUCUUGCUGUCACUUAUAGAUGGAUCCGCGCUGCAUUAGCUAGUUGGUAAGGUAACGGCUUACCAAGGCAACGAUGCAUAGCCGACCUGAGAGGGGGAUCGGCCACACUGGAACUGGGACACGGUCCAGACUCCUACGGGAGGCAGCAGUAGGGAAUCUUCCGCAAUGGGCGAAAGCCUGACGGAGCAACGCCGCGUGAGUGAUGAAGGUCUUCGGAUCGUAAAACUCUGUUAUUAGGGAAGAACAUAUGUGUAAGUAACUGUGCACAUCUUGACGGUACCUAAUCAGAAAGCCACGGCUAACUACGUG
rnacentral:rRNA from 1 species